ACUCCACAUGUGUGCCAGGUGACCCCUUGCGCAUUAGGUGGACCCCAGAAGCAUUUCCGCUGAACACUGAUGAUGAAGCGGUUUACCUGCGUCUAGAGUUUAACACAUCAGUGCAUCUGACACUCUGAAGUGUACUACACAUGACGGCACCAAACCAACCUCAUCUUCCUGUAAUGCUGGAGUGUAAAACUCAAAAACUGACACUGUGAUACUGUGAAUAUUACCAUGUAAAACCAGACCAUGUUUUCAAACUAGACUGUUCUGUUGAAAAUAAAAAUAGUGCUAUACUUUGUAGAUUUUAAUUACUAUUAAUGAAGUAACACAUAGUACCUCAGUAUAAGCCUGCUUACUCAGUCACACCCAAAUACACUCAAUGCCGACCACCACCAUGACGUACCGCAUGCCAAACUUCACUCUGGAGCAGAAGCUUUUCCUGCUUCGGAGAAUCCAUGCGGUGGUGGACACAGUGCAGGACUUUCGGAAAGACACCAACACUACUGUGCACCGGAACGCUGUAUGGGCAGAGCUGGCUCAGGACUUCAAUGCGGCGUUCCCUAGUCGACCCCCCAGCAGCAUCGGGUCUCUGAAGACACUGUGGAAACGUCUGAAGGUGGAAUGUCGCGUAGCACUGCAGAAGCGACAGGAGCAGCAGACAGCUGGGCUUCCUGUGUCUGCCCUCACGCAGGUGCAGAGAGAAGUGAUUGCUCUGGUACCAAACCUGAUCUCCUGUCUGGAGGAGGUAGACGGAGAUGGCAGCUAUAGCUCAGUUAGGGGUGGCUCACCUGGAGCAGUGAUGGGGCUUUCAGGCACUAAUGGGAGUGAGCAUGAAGAUGCUGACCACAGUCAAAAUGAUGAAGUUGACAGCAAGGAGAAUUUAGCUACUGAACUUGGAUUGUUCUCACCAACUCACCCACCUGUUAACUCUGGGAUUCCUCCUGGCACUGCCUCCUCUCCUCUCCACUCACAUUCAGUCUCUUCCAGGUCAAGCCGUCCGUUCCUCAUCUUCCCAACCCAUGCAGGAAGCACCUCAGGGCUGGGAUCAGGGACUAGGGAUGCAAACUUUGAUACCCCACACAGAGAGCCUGCAGUGCCACGUGCUCCUGCCGGAGGAGCAGUUGAGAAUUCAUUACCGCCAAUGGACUCUUAUACCUCAAAUUUAAAAUGGGAGCCACAUCGACAGGAACGGUUUGAGCUGGAGCAUCAGCAGACGAUAAGUCUGUUAUUGCUGCAGCAGUGUGUGUGGGAGGAGAAGAGGAAAGCAGUGAGACAGAAAGAGAAGGCAGCACGGGCCAAAAAGAGAUAUUAUCUAGCCAAACUACGGAAGAUCGGCACAGAUCAUCCACCUUCCAGCAGUGACAGCGAGGAUAACGAACAUCUACAGAUGUAAACUCAGAUGUUUAUGACGUCUUAGCUAUGUUUGCUUUCUUUUUGAAAGUCAUGUUUUAUUCUUGCAAUGCUGUUUAUUUAUAAAACAAUAUAUUUUUUUAUUGUGGACUAAACUUAACUGGUGUUUAGGAAUGUACCAUGUGUAUCAUAUGGAGGGGGGAAUUCACUCAAGCAGGCUUUGUUCCAAUAGCCGAUAAAAAUCUCAUUUCCAUUCAUACUCUGAAAAUUAAAAUUCAUAAUUUACUAACCCUCAUAUUGCUCCAAACUGUGUGACUUACUUUCUUCUGAAAAACACAAAAGAAGAUAUUUUAAAAAUGCCUGUGUUUAUUUUGUCCAUGCAAUAGGAGUUAAUGGGUCCAGUGUUGUUUUUACCCCCACUGACUUUCAUUGUAUGCAAAACAGUUGAAAUAUUUCUCUAAAUAUCUUCUUUUGUGUUCUGCAGAAGAAACCAAGUCAUACAUGUUUGGAGCAACAUAAGGAGAAGUAAAUGGAUGAACCGGCCCUUUAAAGGCUCUCCGUUGUCCAACAGACUUAGAUUAUGACAUAUAAAUAUAUAUGGUAUAUGGGAAGUAUGGGACUCCAUACUUCACAUCACUUUCACUAAAGAAUCAAAUGGUAAUGCUAAUGAUAGUGUUGCAAUUGUCAACAAAGAAGCCUUCUAGCAUCCAGUUUGCCGAGGAUAAACAGUGCUGUGCAAUACUAAUAUUUGUUUUACAUGAGCAAAAUUAUCAACAUAAACGUUCAUUUGCCAUUUUUUACAAGCAUUUAAGAUUUUAUAAUAAUGUAAAUUUAAUUACGUUGACCUGUUUAUAAAUUGAAUUUGCUUAAAAGAGUGAAUGUUUAUCAUGCACUGCACUAAGUCUUUCUGGGUCUUAUGUUUGAGUGAUAUCAUAUAACCAAAACCAUUGAAAAUCUAAUGUUAUGGAAGUUUUCCAAAUGGGAAAUUAGAAACUGAAGUGCAAUGAUCGAACAGGCUCAUCUAGUGCAUGUUUACAAUGGAAAAGCAGAGCAGUGUAAUGCAGAAAUGUGUUCUGUGUGAACAGCCCAAAGCCCUCACACAGUCAGGCCAGAAUCAAUCAGUGAGGAGAUAUUUAGUCCUGAUACUUGUGCUUGAUGAGAAGAGGAAAUGAACUGAAAUGAGAUUUCUAAUGUUACUGUAUAGCAUUUUAAUUUAAUGUGUGUGGUUCAAACCAAGGAUUGAUUAAGGUUCUCAAAGGCCCCCGUUUGAUGCCUUUACAUUACAAUAUAAAUAGCAUGAAACAUUACAUUACAAAUUACUGUAUGUAGUUUUAUUAAUUAGACAGAGCACAACAUAUAUGGAAAACAUUUCAGGGGUCAUUGCCAGUCCAUAAUCUAUCCUUGGAUCCAACUCAUUUGACUGUUUUAGGACAGUGUCCUCAGGACCAACCUUUGGAUUGAGUUCACUGUAGCUCAUUUAUACUAUGCAGAUUUUUGUUUUGUUUUGUUUUUUCAGGUAAAUAAGUGCUUUUCUUAAAUUGACUUCCUACUCAUGGAGUGGCUGAAUUUAGUUCAGUGUUGUUAAUUUACUUGUCUUAGUACACAGUGUUUGGGAACAGAGCCCUCUGUUCUUUUUCAAAAUAUGAAAAAGCUGGAAAUUCUGUCAUCAUAUUCAUACCCUUAUGAUUUUUCCAAACCUAUAUGUUCUAUGUUGCAAGAAAUAAAGUCGUAGAGGUUUGGAACA
ensembl:lncRNA